CGCCUGAAUUCAUAUUUUGAGGUUAGGUGUACUUGAAUUUGAAUGUGAUUUGUUAAAUAAAUCAUUAUGGCAGACGGAUUUAUUUUGUUAAUCGAUGCACUUGUGGAAGACGAACAGCGGUAGAAUGUUUGCUACUAAUCACUUGAUUAAUAAUUUCUUUUCAUUCUAGAAAUAAUGCUGCAUUAAUACGACGAAAUUUACGGGAUCAAAGUGAUCCCAUGUCUAUGCCAGAAACUCAGUUUCGAUCACUGUACCGAUUGUCGAGAGAGAUGGUAUACAUAAUCUCAUUUUAGAGCUCUCGCCUCAUUUGCAAGAUGCAGAACGUGAAGAAUUAUUUAUCCCGAAAAAAUUAAAAAUUAUGGUGGCGUUGCAUUUUUUUGCCCAUGGCAGCUACCAAAAAGCCGUCGGGCAAGAUUUUUGUACAAGUAUGAGCCAGUCAUCUGUUAGUAAAUGUUUAACAGUUGUUGUUAAUGCUUUGGAAAAUUUGUACCAUUAUGUACGUUUUCCACAAACACAAGAGGAAGUAACGCUUGUUAAGCAAGGUUUUAUGAAUAUGGCCCAUGGGUUCCCAGGUAUUGUUGGUGCUGUUGAUUGCACACACAUUGCAAUAGUUGCUCCUCCAAUUAAUCAUCCUGAUUAUCCUGCAAUAUUAUUUUAUAAUAGAAAAGGAUACUACAGCCUUAAUGUACAAAUUAUAUGUGAUGCAAAUUAAAAAAUAUUAGCAUUAAAUGCUCGUUAUCCCGGAUCAGUUCAUGAUGCAGCUAUUUGGGGCACAAGCCAAAUACGACAAAAUUUAUAUAAUAGUUAUCAAGCAGGCCAUACCUCCUAUUUACUUGGCGAUUCUGGGUAUCCACUCGAACCAUGGCUGAUGACACCCAUAACAGCUCCUGAUACAGAUGCAAAACGUGCUUAUAAUAUUGCACAUAGAAGUGUAAGAAAUGUGAUCGAAAGGUUGAACGGAGUUCUUAAAACAAGAUUUCGGUGUCUCCUUAAACACCGAGUUUUGCAUUACAGCCCACCAGUUGCAGCUAAAAUAGUAAAUAGUUGUGCUGUUUUACACAAUAUGUGUAUAUUGCAUGGAGAUCAAGCUUUAAUUGAUGAUGUUCCAGAAGAUGAAUAUGUACAAGAUGAACAUGAUCAGCAACAGCUACAAAAUGGACAUGAGAGGUAUCAGGGUGAACAAGUACGAACUAGAAUAGUGCGGAUGUAUUUUAAUUAAUAGUUACAGUUAC